rnacentral:rRNA from 1 species
CGGACCGGCGCACGGGUGAGUAACGCGUAUGCAACUUACCUAUCAGAGGGGGAUAACCCGGCGAAAGUCGGACUAAUACCGCAUAAAGCAGGGAUCCCGCAUGGGAAUAUUUGCUAAAGAUUCAUCGCUGAUAGAUAGGCAUGCGUUCCAUUAGGCAGUUGGCGGGGUAACGGCCCACCAAACCGACGAUGGAUAGGGGUUCUGAGAGGAAGGUCCCCCACAUUGGUACUGAGACACGGACCAA